AUUGAACGCUGGCGGCAGGCCUAACACAUGCAAGUCGAGCGGAUGAACGGGAAUUGCUCCUGGCUUCAGCUGCCGACGGGCGGGUGAUUCAUAGGUAGAUGCCCUGCAGUUGGGUCUAAGGUCAGGACGGAGGCCCGAAUACGGUAACCGCCCAUAGGGCGAACGGGGGGGAUCAUCGGACCUCACGCUCUUGGAUGAUCCUAGGUCGGAUUAGCUAGUUGGUGGGGUAAAGGCCUACCAAGGCGACGAUCCGUAACUGCUCUGAGAGGAUGAUCAGUCACACUGGAACUGAGACACGGUCCAGACUCCUACGGGAGGCAGCAGUGGGGAAUAUUGGACAAUGGGCGAAAGCCUGAUCCAGCCAUGCCGCGUGUGUGAAGAAGGUCUUCGGAUUGUAAAGCACUUUUAGUUGGGAGGAAGAGCAGUAAGUUAAUACCUUGCUGUUUUGACGGUACCAACAGAAUAAGCACCGGCUAACUUCGUG
rnacentral:rRNA from 1 species